AACGUAGGAGACAAACGUUAUCCGGAGUUACUGGGCGUAAAGGGCGUGUAGGUGGUUACGUAAGUCUGGCGUGAAAUUUCUCGGCUUAACCGAGGCAGGUCGUCGGAUACUGCGAGACUAGAGGACGGUAGAGGCGUGUGGAAUUCCGGGUGUAGUGGUGAAAUGCGUAGAGAUCCGGAGAACACCAGUGGCGAAGGCGACACGCUGGGCCGUACCUGACACUGAGGCGCGAUAGCAUGGGGAGCAAACAGG
rnacentral:rRNA from 1 species